GAUGAACGCUGGCGGCGUGCCUAAUACAUGCAAGUCGAGCGAACAGACGAGAAGCUUGCUCCUCUGCCGUUAGCGGCGGACGGGUGAGUAACACGUGGAUAACCUACCUAUAAUACUGGGAUAACUUCGGGAAACCGGAGCUAAUACCGGAUAAUAUAUUCAACCGCAUGGUUCAAUAGUGAAAGACGGUUUUGCUGUCACUUAUAGCUGGUUCCGCGUCGCAUUAGCUAGUUGGUAAGGUAACGGCUCACCAAGGCAACGAUGCGUAGCCGACCUGAGAGGGUGAUCAGCCACACUGGAACUGAGACACGGUCCAGACUCCUACGGGAGGCAGCAGUAGGGAAUCUUCCGCAAUGGGCGAAAGCCUGACGGAGCAACGCCGCGUGAGUGAUGAAGGUCUUCGGAUCGUAAAACUCUGUUAUUAGGGAAGAACAAAUGUGUAAGUAACUAUGCACGUCUUGACGGUACCUAAACAGAAAGCCACGGCUAACUUCGUG
rnacentral:rRNA from 1 species